rnacentral:rRNA from 1 species
UACGGAGGGUGCGAGCGUUGUCCGGAAUCAUUGGGCGUAAAGGGCGCGUAGGUGGCCCGGUCAGUUCGUGGUGAAAGCGCGGGGCUCAACCCUGCGUCGGCCAUGAAUACUGCCGCGGCUGGAGCACUGUAGAGGCAGGCGGAAUUCCGGGUGUAGCAGUGAAAUGCGUAGAUAUCAGGAGGAAUACCGAUGGCGAAGGCAGGUCCCUGGGCCAAUACUGACGCUCAUGCACGAAAGCGUGGGGAGCAAACAGG